AGAGAGGUUGAUUGGCUUACCCAAGCCUGACCACUGUGUCAGCUGAAUAGGCAGAAGCCAUGUUAGAUGAGCCUCAGGAACAAGCGGAGGGCUCCCUGACUGUGUACGUGAUAUCUGAACACUCCUCACUUCUUCCCCAGGCUAUGAGAUCACCUUCAGUUUACUCAACCCAGACCCCAAGUCCCAUGAUGUCUACUGGGACAUUGAGGGGGCUGUCCGGCGCUAUGUGCAACCUUUCCUGAAUGCCCUCGGUGCCGCUGGCAACUUCUCUGUGGACUCUCAGAUUCUUUACUAUGCAAUGUUGGGGGUGAAUCCCCGCUUUGACUCAGCUUCCUCCAGCUACUAUUUGGACAUGCACAGCCUCCCCCAUGU
rnacentral:lncRNA from 10 species